rnacentral:sRNA from 1 species
CUUUAUGAAUCUGUAAGUCAGAGGCUUUGGAAGGCAAGUUACUUGCUGUAGGUCAUUCUUCAAAGGAAGGCAAAGAUAAACAUGAAGGAAAGGAGAAUGUCAUGGAGGACGUUAAUGUUAUGGAGGGCUUGCAUAGUUCCAGUGGCAAGACUCAUGUCUUUCAAAACACUCAGUCUUUACUUCCUGAUUUCUACACAUGUCUAAAUGUUUUCAAAAGGAGUUCUAAGAACUCUAUCUGUUCCUGGUAGUAAACUAGACAAGGCUCACACCAUUCACUGUAGCAAACAGAAGUCACUGAAACCUGGAGACUAGAUUUAAAGGGUGUGCACUGUCAUUCACACAGUCCACAGAGUCCUGUGAAGUUUCUAUGUUGCUGGCUAUUGGAUGUUUGCUAUCCUGCAGCACCAUCAGUCACUAUCCUUGGUUCUUAUUUUGAGCUAGAACCUCGUUGAGGACCUGCUAGAACGGCAGUCUGAGUAGAUCUCUGGUCAUAGAGGAUGAGAGAAAGAUGAGAACCAUGAAGGUAACCUAGAACUCACGAAGGACUGAAGCCUUUGAGGAUACACUGGAUGUGCACAUGUCUUAACGUCUCCAGCCUUAGUAGCACCAGUAUCCUGCAGAGUAGUUCAAUGAUCUGAAAAUGUACAUGACUUGAGAGUUGAAGAACCAUUGGUGGAGACCGAGGAGUUCCAAGUGCAGAUGAUGUCCUAUGCAGCAGGAUGAGCCAGCAGAUGACAGGCAACAUGACACUUGCUCAAUCGCAAGCGAGUGCUUGUCACAAGGAUUCUGGAUGGUGUUUUCUUCUCCUCUGGAAGAUACAAAGAAACUCUACCAUUCAGCUCCUCCAAGGCUUCAGGCAUCUGCAUGGAAGGCACAGCAAGAGGAGAGAUAGUGUCAGUGCAUCCAUCCACUGCUCCACCACAGUCUGCUUUCUCAUUAGGAAAACAAAAGGCCUCCCAGGAAUUCUGAGACCUACAAAGAAGGAGGUAGAAACAGCUUUCAAUGACUCAAAAGCGUUUUUUAAAAAAAUCUAUUGAGUGAGUUCUCAUUUGAAGUUCAUAGAACACUCACUUCCUAGUUUGAAAAUUGGUAUUUGAGGAGCAAAUUAAACAUCCAAAUUUGGUAAAAUCUUCCUAAAAAUGUAUCUUAAGGAAACCAAAUAGGUCCAAAUGAUGACUGUUUUACUGUAUAGAAGACUGUUAAUUAAGAAUAUGGAAAGCAA